UACGUAGGGUGCAAGCGUUAAUCGGAAUUACUGGGCGUAAAGCGUGCGCAGGCGGUUGUGCAAGACAGAUGUGAAAUCCCCGGGCUUAACCUGGGAACUGCAUUUGUGACUGCACGGCUAGAGUGUGUCAGAGGGGGGUAGAAUUCCACGUGUAGCAGUGAAAUGCGUAGAUAUGUGGAGGAAUACCGAUGGCGAAGGCAGCCCCCUGGGAUAACACUGACGCUCAUGUACGAAAGCGUGGGGAGCAAACAGG
rnacentral:rRNA from 1 species